rnacentral:rRNA from 1 species
GACCGGCGCACGGGUGAGUAACACGUAUGCAACCUACCUACUACAGGGGGAUAGCCCGUUGAAAGACGGAUUAAUACCGCAUAAUACAGGGAUUCCGCAUGGAAAUAUUUGUUAAAGAAUUAUCGGUAGUAGAUGGGCAUGCGCUUCAUUAGCUAGUUGGAGAGGUAACGGCUCACCAAGGCAACGAUGAAUAGGGGAACUGAGAGGUUUAUCCCCCACACUGGUACUGAGACACGGACCAG